rnacentral:lncRNA from 1 species
GUAAAAUCUUGCUAAAUUAUGCAGGGAGACUGAAAACAUGAUCCUGACUGGACCAAGAUGCUUUGUGACGGUUGCAGAGCUGGAGGAAAUACAUUCCUUGUAUCCCCCUCCCUGAGUCCACGUGUUCCCUGUGUAUCCAAACAACAGCUUGUGACAGUUCAGCUUGCACAAACCACGGCAGAGAUGGAAAAAGACCUUUGUGCAUCAGCGCCAUGAUGGAUCGCUUUUAAUUUUUGCUCCGAUGCCAGGUCUGGAUUUGAAAUAGAAAAGCAGGAUCAUGUUUUGUGGAGUAACUUUUGGAGGGGGCCCUGAAGGAGGAAUGUAAUACGGGCUGGAGAGAUCAGACAGGAACCAGGAGAACAAAAGCUGCCACUGUUGGGGAUGUGGGAGCUGGUGCUGGAUGAAGCGGGACCUCCCGCUGUUUGCGGCUCGCUGCUGCCGUGGCCAGGCUGGCAUCCUGUGCAGGGGGAAUGCAGGGAAGAGCUAAUCUGUGGAAACAGAAGGACAGACUUAGCUUGAGAAGAUGAGCAUGCUGAGCUGGUUUCUGCUCUGUUACACCCUGAAACCUCGCUGAUAUCCGUGCAGCUCCCCAGCUGGAACUCAGAGCAGACGGGGGUUCUUUAUGCAUUUUCUCCAGAGCCGGACUGGUGAGGAUUUGUUGAGGACUGGAGAAACUGAUACUGAGAUUUGCAGCUCGGCAGGAGGGAAUCUCUGUUUGCUUAAUUUGGGAAGAGACAGCCCUAUAACUUACAGUAUGUAAAGCUUAAGCAGAAGUAUCCCCUUGUGUAGAGUUUGAGGCAGCCAGGAAAAGUCUUUCAGGCUGCCUGAGCCAUUCCACAGGCUUCCUCCAUUCCUUCAAAUACAAACAGAUGCCUGCUCCAAACAGCUUGUGCAAGGACUAGACUCCAGAAUAGGAAUCCAAGUAUUCCAUAGUGUAACCAACCCCCUGUAUAAUUUUUCCCAGAGGCGAGUUAAAGAGCCCUUUCUGGAAAACACCUGACCUUGUCAUUUCAUCUGAUGCUCUGGGAAGCUCUUCCAGAGCUGGAC